UCGGGAAUUUUGGGCAAUGGGCGCAAGCCUGAUCCAGCCAUGCCGCGUGAGUGAAGAAGGCCUUAGGGUUGUAAAACUCUUUCGCCGGGGAAGAUAAUGACGGUACCCGGAGAAGAAGCUCCGGCUAACUUCGUGCCAGCAGCCGCGGUAAUACGAAGGGAGCUAGCGUUGUUCGGAAUUACUGGGCGUAAAGCGCACGUAGGCGGACUUGUCAGUCAGGGGUGAAAUCCCAAGGCUCAACCUUGGAACUGCCUCCGAUACAGCAAGCCUAGAGAUCGGGAGAGGUGAGUGGAAUUCCUAGUGUAGAGGUGAAAUUCGUAGAUAUUGGAAGGAACAUCGGUGGCGAAGGCGACCUUCUGGACAGAUACUGACACUGAGGCACGAAAGCGUGGGGAGCAAACAGGAUUAGAUACCCAUGUAGUCCCUGAGCGGGCUGGCAAGGCG
rnacentral:rRNA from 1 species